GAGCUGAGCUCGGUCGCGGCUGCCUGUCUGCUCCGGCAGCACCAUGUCGCUCUUGUUCGUCAGCAUGGCGUGUGUUGGGUUCUUCUUGCUGCAGGGGGCCUGGCCACAUGAGGCUUUGAAGGUGGAGGAAGUCCAGGAGCCAUGAAUGCAGGUGGCCUAUAGAGGCUGGAAAAGUCAAGGAACUGAUUCUCCUGAGUCUCCAGAGGGAACGAAGCCCUGCAGGAGUCCACAGAAAACCUUCCCUCCUGGCCCACCCAGGUCCCCUGGUGAAAUCAGAAGAGACAGUCAUCCUGCAAUGUUGGUCAGAUGUCAUGUUUGAACACUUCCUUCUGCACAGAGAGGGGAUGUUUAACGACACUUUGCGCCUCAUUGGAGAACACCAUGAUGGGGUCUCCAAGGCCAACUUCUCCAUCAGUCGCAUGACGCAAGACCUGGCAGGGACCUACAGAUGCUACGGUUCUGUUACUCACUCCCCCUAUCAGGUGUCAGCUCCCAGUGACCCUCUGGACAUCGUGAUCAUAGGUCUAUAUGAGAAACCUUCUCUCUCAGCCCAGCCGGGCCCCACGGUUCUGGCAG
rnacentral:misc_RNA from 1 species